rnacentral:rRNA from 1 species
GACAGAGGUGCCGAGCGUUAGGCGGAAUCACUGGGCUUAAAGCGUGUGUAGGCGGAUCUGUAAGUACCUUGUGAAAUCCCACGGCUCAACCGUGGAACUGCUUGGUAUACUGCGGGUCUUGAGCCACCUAGGGGGCAAGUGGAACAAACGGUGGAGCGGUGAAAUGCGUAGAUAUCGUUUGGAACGCCAAUGGUGAAAACAACUUGCUGGGGGUGUGCUGACGCUGAGACACGAAAGCCAGGGGAGCAAACGGG